rnacentral:rRNA from 1 species
AUUGAACGCUGGCGGCAAGCCUAACACAUGCAAGUCGAGCGGCUGCGACUUAACUGAACCUUCGGGGAACGUUAAGGGCGGCGAGCGGCGGACGGGUGAGUAAUGCCUGGGAAUAUGCCCUGAUGUGGGGGAUAACUAUUGGAAACGAUAGCUAAUACCGCAUAAUCUCUUCGGAGCAAAGAGGGGGACCUUCGGGCCUCUCGCGUCAGGAUUAGCCCAGGUGGGAUUAGCUUGUUGGUGAGGUAAUGGCUCACCAAGGCAACGAUCCCUAGCUGGUCUGAGAGGAUGAUCAGCCACACUGGAACUGAGACACGGUCCAGACUCCUACGGGAGGCAGCAGUGGGGAAUAUUGCACAAUGGGGGAAACCCUGAUGCAGCCAUGCCGCGUGUGUGAAGAAGGCCUUCGGGUUGUAAAGCACUUUCAGUAGGGAGGAAGGUAGUGUAGUUAACACCUGCAUUAUUUGACGUUACCUACAGAAGAAGCACCGGCUAACUCCGUGCCAGCAGCCGCGGUAAUACGGAGGGUGCGAGCGUUAAUCGGAAUUACUGGGCGUAAAGCGCAUGCAGGCGGCCUGUUAAGUCAGAUGUGAAAGCCCGGGGCUUAACCUCGGAAUUGCAUUUGAAACUGGCAGGCUAGAGUCUUGUAGAGGGGGGUAGAAUUUCAGGUGUAGCGGUGAAAUGCGUAGAGAUCUGAAGGAAUACCAGUGGCGAAGGCGGCCCCCUGGACAAAGACUGACGCUCAGAUGCGAAAGCGUGGGGAGCAAACAGG